rnacentral:rRNA from 1 species
ACCUGGCGGCGUGCCUAUCAUGCNAGUCGAGCGAACCACUUCGGUGGUGAGCGGCGAACGGGUGAGUAACACGUAGGUGAUCUGCCCAUCAGACGGGGACAACGAUUGGAAACGAUCGCUAAUACCGGAUAGGACGAAAGUUUAAAGGUGCUCCUGGCACCGCUGAUGGAUGAGCCUGACGGCGCAUUAGCUAGUUGGUAGGGUAAAGGCCUACCAAGGCGACGAUGCGUAGCCGACCUGAGAGGGUGAACGGCCACACUGGGACUGAGACACGGCCCAGACUCCUACGGGAGGCAGCAGUAGGGAAUCUUCGGCAAUGGGCGAAAGCCUGACCGAGCAACGCCGCGUGAAUGAUGAAGGCCUUCGGGUUGUAAAAUUCUGUUAUAAGGGAAGAACGACUUUAGUAGGAAAUGGCUAAAGUGUGACGGUACCUUAUGAGAAAGCCACGGCUAACUACGUGCCAGCAGCCGCGGUAAU